GGUGACCCCAAGGGAGACACCAACCCUCUCUCUGAGCCCCUCCCCCACCCAGCUCAGCUCAUCAAAGUCCACCCCAGAGGGGGCCACAGCCAAGACAGAGCUCCCUGAACUCCGACUCUGUCCUGAUGGCCCAGGCACUUCGGAAAUGAUGUACCACUGCACCAUAGCCAGAAGAGCAAUUGGACCAAUAAGUUAUGGACCAGGCCCUGAGACACUGUGAGCCCGAGAAAACCUUUUCCUCCCAUGUGCCUGUCUCUCUUCAGUAUUCAUUAUACUGACAGGAAAC
rnacentral:lncRNA from 1 species